UCUCUUGUGGUCCACUGGUUAAGACACUGUGCUUCAACUAUAGGGAGCACAGGUUCAAUUCCUGGUAGGGGAA
rnacentral:tRNA from 1 species